rnacentral:tRNA from 1 species
UGCGGGGUGGUUGCUGCUGGUAGCAAUACCUGGCUCUGAACCAGGUGGGCGUUGGUUCGAUUCCAACCCCCGCAA